ACGGAGUUAGCCGGUGCUUAUUCCUGGGGUACCGUCACUAUCUUCCCCCAGAAAAGAGCUUUACGACCCAAGGGCCUUCUUCACUCACGCGGUAUUGCUGCGUCAGGCUUUCGCCCAUUGCGCAAAAUUCCCC
rnacentral:rRNA from 1 species